GAUGAACGCUGGCGGCGUGCCUAACACAUGCAAGUCGAACGGUGAAGCAGAGCUUGCUCUGUGGAUCAGUGGCGAACGGGUGAGUAACACGUGAGCAACCUGCCUCUGACUCUGGGAUAAGUGCUGGAAACGGCGUCUAAUACAGGAUAUAAGCUGUGACCGCACGGUCAGCAGUUGGAAAGAUUUGUCGGUUUGGGAUGGUCUCACGGCCUAUCGGCUUGUUGGGGGGGUGAUGGCUAGCCAAGGCGUCGGCAGGCAGCCGGCCUGAGAGGGUGACCGGCCACCCUGAGACUGAGAGGAGGCACAGACACCGACGGGAGGCAACGGUGGGGAAGAUUGCAGAAUGGGCGAAGGCCUAGUGCAGCAGCGCCGCGUGAGGGAAGACGGCCUUCGAGUUGUGAACCACUUUUAGCAGAGAAGAGGCGAAAGUGACGGUACCUGCAGAAAAAGCGCCGGCUAACUACGUG
rnacentral:rRNA from 1 species